GAAAGCAAAGGAGAGAGGCUACUAAAAAAAUCAAGAAGCGCCAGUUUUCUGCUACAGCUGUCAGCAAAGAACUGUCACCGUACAUCGCACCCUCCAAGAUGGUCAGCUAAUGUAGGCAACGACAGCACGGGAAUGCAAAAGAGGGCAGAUAAGUCACUUCUGGUAAUGAGACACAAAUUAAACUUUCAAAACAUGUGCAUAGCUUUAUUCAUCUGCUUCAAACUAACCUUUUCACGGAGCUUCAGCGAAACCCGAGUGUGCAAAAUGCAUUUCUAAAAAAUAAUGCAAGCAAGCUUUCACAUUUACAGUGGCAGAAGUACAGAAAGACUAACAGAAAUCACACAUUAGGGCAAAUGAGAGAGAGAGACACAGAGAGAGAUGAGAGAGA